rnacentral:misc_RNA from 1 species
UACGGAGGGAGCUAGCGUUCAACGGAAUUACUGGGCGUAAAGCGCGCGUAGGCGGUUUGGUAAGUCGGAUGUGAAAGCCCAGGGCGUAACCUUGGAAUUGCAUUCGAUACUGCUGAACUAGAGUAUGGUAGAGGGAAGUGGAAUUUCCGGUGUAGCGGUGAAAUGCGUAGAGAUCGGAAGGAACACCAGUGGCGAAGGCGACUUCCUGGGCCAAUACUGACGCUGAGGUGCGAAAGCGUGGGGAGCAAACAGG